AGUGAACGCUGGCGGUAGGCCUAACACAUGCAAGUCGAACGGCAGCACAGUAAGAGCUUGCUCUUACGGGUGGCGAGUGGCGGACGGGUGAGGAAUACAUCGGAAUCUACUUUUUCGUGGGGGAUAACGUAGGGAAACUUACGCUAAUACCGCAUACGACCUACGGGUGAAAGCAGGGGAUCUUCGGACCUUGCGCGAUUGAAUGAGCCGAUGUCGGAUUAGCUAGUUGGCGGGGUAAAGGCCCACCUAGGCGACGAUCCGUAGCUGGUCUGAGAGGAUGGUCAGCCACACUGGAACUGAGACACGGUCCAGACUCCUACGGGAGGCAGCAGUGGGGAAUAUGGGACAAUGGGCGCAAGCCUUAUCCAGCCAUACCGCGUGGGUUAAGAAGGCCUUCGGGUUGUAAAGCCCUUUUGUUGGUAAAGAAAAGCAGCAGGUUAAUACCCCGCUGUUCUGACGGUACCCAAAGAAUAAGCACCGGCUAACUUCGUG
rnacentral:rRNA from 1 species